rnacentral:lncRNA from 1 species
CGAAUUCAUUAGGAAUGUCAGUUUCAGUGUGACGCCACAUGAUAUUACCAUAUUGUUCAAACAGACAAAUUGCAUUCUUCAAUAGGCUUGGUGUACCAUCAGCCGAGUGAAUGUAUGUAUGUAUGAAUGAACUGAGCAUGUGGUGGACAAUCACGAUUAGGUAUCAAAGACACCGUUGACAGGGCAAAUCCAAACUCUCCAGAAUCAAAGAAAGUCUUAAAGUAAAAUUCUUCGGUUGGGUCUUGAUAAGGCACAAAUAGCUCGGAAAUGUAGCUUUGUAGAGUACACGACGAAACUUGUGUUUCUCUAUAUCGUAAAUAUGUAAGUGAUAUCACUAUACUAGCUCGUACAGUAAAUCUUAUAUGAAAUUUCCAGGUGGCCCAGCUGAACAAUCACACUUUCAGAUAUUAUUUCUCAAGCAAUGAGCGAAACACACACAUAUCUCUUAUUUUUUAAAGUUAAUCCGAACGCAAAAUUUUGCCCUAGAUUUAACCUAACUUCUUUGCUUAGUUUUAUUAUUUUAACCCUAUUUAAUCAACCCUAAUUAAUUACAUCUCUUCUCUUAUUCCUUAAAGUUAACCCGAAUGCAAAAUGUUGCCCUAAAUUUAACCUAACUUUAAUGAUUAAUUAUACUGUAUUAGCCCUAUUUAAUUAACCCUAUUUAAUUUAAUCAAAAUGUUAUUUUCAAAUGCUUCUCAAAUCAAAAACAAUAGAUCACUCCUAAAUCCAAUCCAAUCCUUUUUUGCUCCUUUUUUUUUUAUUAAAAACAAAAGAAAAUCAUCCCCUAUUUUUUUAUGAAACCUAAACUAAACUAAUUACCCUAUUUUUUUAUGAAAAAUAAAAUAAACCUAUUUUUUUGAUUAAAAACAAAAGGAAGUCGUCCCCUAUCUCUUAUUUCUAAAUGUUAACCCGUGACGCAAUAUUAACCCUAGAUUUAACCUAAUUUUUUCGCGUGACUUUACUAUACGAAUCUUAGAUUUAAUUUAUGCAAAAUGUCAUCUCUUAUUUUUAAAUGUUAACUCGUGACGCAAUAUUAACCCUAGAUUUAACCUAAUUUUUUCGUGUGACUUUACUAUAUUAACCCUAGAUUUAAUUUAUGCAAAAUGUCAUCUCUUAUUUCUAAAUGUUAACCCGUGACGUAAUAUUAGCCCUAGAUUUAACAUAUUUUUUCGCGUGACUUUACUAUAUUAACCCUAGAUUUAAUUUAUGCAAAAUGUCAUCUCUAAUUUUAACCUAAUUUUUUUUGCUUGUUCAAAAAAAAAAAAAUUUAACCUAAUUUUUUCCUCCACGCUUUUGCAUUUAAUGUUUAUCUAAAGUAAAAUAAAAUUAUGUUCUCAAUUAUAUGCUGUUUUUUUGGAAAGGAAUAACCGUUAACCCAUCUCGCUAUACUUAACAUAAUCUCUUACUUAUAAAUGUUAACCCGUCUUGAUAUACUUAACCUAUUAUGUUACGUUACGCUAUCAAGGAUGAUGUCAUGGAAAAUUAUGUUAUGGUACAGUACCAACGUCUAUGCUUCUUAAUAUUAUGAAAUACUAUAUGACAAUCAUGAAAUUCAUCGUUACCUAUUACCGUCAAAUAUUACCUUCCAUAAGUCAGUUGCCACAUACGCUAAGUCGGUUGCCACAUACGCAUUGACUUAGUCAAAAUUGAGGGAUGGGACCACUUUCGCAAAAGGGCUAAACUUAAGAGUUAAAUUAUCAAUUUUUUAUAGGGGUCAAAAUCGCAAUAUUUUAAAACAUAAAAGGAGGAAAACUGCAUUUAUGCCUAAUAUAAAUUUAUUUGCAUACGUUCUAAAUAAAUCAUAUUUAGAUCGUUUGAUCAAAAUCAAUGGUCCUGAUUUCAAGUUCUUUAUUUUACUUAGAGAUAGAAAAAGUGGAUCUCGAUUAAAAGAUCGGAUGGUCCACAUAUGUCACAAAAUCCAAAUCCAGUUAAUACCCGUUAGUGUACUAUUUAGUAGAUUUACCAUAUAUAUAUAUGGUAUCAGAUUAUUUCUAACUAUCAUAUCCAGAGAUUUGCGGUAUAUCUUUGUCGUCUAACUAUAUACUCAUGGGAAAUGCUAACUUGUGCCUAAGGGCACAAGUUAAUGAGUCUAAAGUGAAAAUAUUUUGUUAUAAUAAAUGUAUUUAAAUUUAAUUUUUUCAUUUUUAAUUAAUUGAAUGCGCAAAAUUUAAGAUAAUAUUUCUACUUUAGGUUGCAAAUGCUACUUAUCUGCCGAAUAGAAACCCAACAAAUAAGCUUUCAAGGAAUCAAGCCAUAUUAUUUGGAUCAGUUAGCUACAAAUAUGUUCCAAAUCAACUUAGAAUGCAAAUUGGUGACAAAGGAGAACAAAUCAUCUUGGUUGACUCCUUAUAUGUAGACUAUUUGACCUUGUUGAUGAAAUUAAGGAGUCGGGCUAGAAGACAAAAUAUAAGAAUAGAAAUGAUCCAUAGUUAACUAUGACAAUGGUGACAACAAUGUGUCAAGAAGAUAUUAGGGAGCUAGAAACUCUCAAAGACAAAGACUUUAACCUCAAAGGCUACAAGAAUGUGAGAUGGUCUCAAAUAACUAAUGAGCCAAUAAGUUUUGAAUGUCCCAUGAAAUACUCAUGGUAGGUUUAUGCUAUGAAGGAAGAAUUUUAUUCAACUGAGAAAAGUCAAACAUGGGAGCUAGUUGGUUUACCAACCAAAAAUAAAGCAAUAAGUGUGAAGUGGGUGUAUAUAUAAAGUGAAACUAAAUUCAAGUGGAGAAGUGAUCAAUACAAGGCCAGACUUGUAGUUAAAGUAUUCCUACAAAGACCUAGAAUAGACUUUGAUGAAGUUUUUGCACCAAUUGCUAUAAAAUAAUUGAAACUAUAAGGAUGGUAGUUGCUAUUAAAGAUUUGAAACAGGGGCACAUAUACCAAUUGGAUGUGAAAUCAGCAUUCUUUGAAUGGACCUAUUGAUAAGGAGGUAUAUAUGUUUAGCAGACACCAUGAUUUGAGAUAAGAAAUCAAAGAGGGAAAGGUGUACAAUUUGAAUGAGACUCUAAAUUGGCUCAAGCAGUCCCCAAGAAUCAAGAUCAUGGUGUUUAAUUAUGUGAAGAUAAUUUUAAAAAUAGGUUUAAUCAUUUUGUGGUUAUAUGUAGAAUGAUUGUAGAUAAUCUAUUAAUAACUAGAGACGAUUAAUUCAAUUUUAAAGAAUUUAAGAGAAGCAUGAUGAGUAAAUUUCAUAUGGCUGAUUUGCGACAAUUUUCUUAUUUUAUGAGAAUCGAGUUCCAAAAGACAAACUUUGAAAUGCUAGUCCAUCAAGCCAAAUAUGCUAGAGAGAUAUUGAAGAAAUUUGAGAUGGGCAAUUGUUACUCAACUGCCACUCCAGUAGAAACAGACAUACAUUUGGUGAAGGAAAGGUGGAUUCCACUCAAUUCAGAGUGGUGAUGAUAGGAUGCUUGUAGGUGAGCAAAGUUAACCAAAAACCAAUCUGAACCAAUUAACCGAAUCGAACCAUAUUAAAAUUAACCAAACCAUUGCAUUGGUUAACCGAAUUGAACUGUUAUUUGAAGAUGGUUUACUAACCGAACCGAACUUUUAUUAGAUUCAAUUAACUGGUAUUAACAAAACCAUUACAAUUUACAACUCAAUCAAUCAGUUAUCACACAAAACUUCUUUUCACACAAUGACACAAAACGUGAACUGAACCCUUUUCUAAACCCUAAUUUCAAUUUCAAUUUCAAUUUCAAAACCCUAAUUUCUCCUCUUCAGGGACCAGUGAUGUUGAUAUAGAAGCUUUCUUCACCUCACACAAUUCACUCUUCUGCGAUUAAUCCAUGAAAUAGACUAAAAAAAUGCCACGAUUAAUCCAUGAAAUGGCCGGUCUUCACCUCUUCAGAGACCAUUUUUUAGCCAAUUCAUUUUUUUCUGCGAUCUUCACCUCUUCUUCGAACUCUUAUGCGAACUAUUCACCUAAGGUACAAAUUAGUUUAUGGGUAUGAUUUGUUUUGAGUUUUGUUUUUGGUAUUAUUUUUGUUUCUAGGUAUGAUUGAUUUUGGUUUGUGGGCAUGUUUUUGUUUCUGGCAUGUUUGUGUGAUUAUAUGAUGAGUGUUAAUUUGUUAGUGAUUGUUGCAAAGUGACGUGUGAAAUAUUUGGACUCUUAGAAGCUUUUUUUUAGCUCAUUUCUAUAACUUCUAUUCAUUUGUGUUCUCUACUGUGGAGUUUUUUGGUAGGAUGGUGAAUCUUUUGUAACUUUGUUAUUACUGUUGUCCUGUGAAGUCUUGACCAAGAAGAAUGGUAACAUCUUGUGAUGUAAUUGACUGUUAGUAGAGUAACAUCUUGAUUGAAUGGUAAAGUUUGGAGGAAAUCAAAGCUAUGACAGGGUCAGAUUUAAAGCCUUUGCUAAUCAAAUUUAUUGGAACAAAAAAUGCUUGUGAUCACUAAACUAGUUUUAGAUUGAAUCAGUAUGUUUCAAUGGAUCGUGUGUAUCAUCCAUUAGCAAAAUGUUGAUAUUGUGACGUUGCUGCUGAUAAACGUUUUCUAGUUAAAGCUAGGGACAUAUGUCUUUAGAGAAUUUAACUUGAGAUCUUUGUUUUCAAAUAUGUCAUACUAAUUUUCUGCACUAGGGAUAUCACUUCAAUUCAUUGAUUUUGUUCUUCCUCAUGCAUUUAUCGUUGUUAUUAUGGACAAAACAGGGCACAAGUUUUGCAUGCACAUUGGUUGGCUCUAGAGUCUAGAUAGAAUUUAUUAGUAUAACUCGUAAGAAACAACAAGUAUGUUGCUAUAGAUCCUUGUCAGUUUAUAAUAAUAGUUUGUGAAUAUUUUGUGUGAUGGCUUGGCUUCUUAGCUUGUUUACAUUACUAAGAUAACUUAUAUGGAUUUCUUUGUCAAAUCUUGUCUUAGUAUCAUUGUGCAAAGUGAUGAGUUCUUUGUCAAUCUUGUCUUAAUAUAUAUCUUUUUUUUUUUUGUAGAGAUAACAUCUCAAGAAUCAGAUCACUUAGAUGAUAUAAAUUGAAAACCAUCCACUUAAAUCAUAAAGGUAGAUAAAUAUGUUUGGUUAAUAUAUAUCUUUGGUGCAUUAUAGUGUCCCUAGGUUGUCUUGAGCUGUUUCUAUUUUGAAGCUAGUUUGUUUAGUAUUUUGGCCUCUGUCUUUAGUGUAAGAUGUUGUCUUGGGCAUUAUAGUGUCCUUAUAGCAUACGACCAUUUGGGUUUUGUGGAAGGCGAGGAAUGAGAGAAUUAAUACUAAACAAAUGAGAGAAUUUCAGCUGUUUGGUGUAGUGGUAGUGCUGCCACUGUGUUGGGGACAGGUUUGAGUGUUGAUCUGCAACAACUUGUUUUUCAGAUGCUGUUUUGGUGUAGGCUGCUGCUGUCACGGUUCUGCAGGGGGAAUUUUUGAUUUAAUCGUACAUUUAUAUUGCUUUUGGCUCUGUCAAUUAAAUUAAUCUGUGUUAUCAUCCUUGUUGCUGGUUGAUGUUGAGGUAUUGAUGAAUGGUCUGGUCAAUAUGCUCCACAUUUGUGGUACUAAUGAUAUAAGAGUCUCUUACUACUAUGAAAAUGAAAUAUAUUUGAUGUUUAAUCCCAUAAAUUUUGUUUGAUCCCUCUACUUCUAGCUGCAGCAGUACAGUUAAUCUCAUAAUAUAUUUGAUGUGUAAAAUACUAAUUCACAUCAAUUUAUGUCUUUUUGUUUUGUAGGUCAAUACCAUAUGAAUUCAUAAAGACAAAGAUCUAUUCGGACUUCAAAGUUGAAGUUAUUAGCUACUUGUUGAGAGAAGAUGUCAGUUAUUAUAAACAUUUAGCUUUAUUUUGUUUUGCUAUUGUAAUAGUUUUAUUUGGAAGGAUGUUGACCCUAUUUACUUAUGCAAGUAUGAUGUAUUGAGAGUAAGUAAGGAAUGAUUGUGCAUCUUUAUACUUCAAACUGAAGUUGAUUUUAUUGUUACUUAAGGAUUAAGCUCUUGUGAAUUAUGUGCUCUUAUGUUGAUGUCAACUGUACAAAAGAGAUACUCUAUUGCAUUUUUUGAAAUUUAUCAAUGGAUUGCACCUAAUAAUUUAGGGGGACUAAUACCUCAAAUUCGUCCUUGAAUUUUCAAAAAUCAGCCAAAUUUAUCCCUGAAUUUUGCAAAAUAUAUAUUUAGUUCCUGAAUUUUAUAGACGUCCAUCAAAAUGGUCCCUUCGUCCAAAAGCUCUGUUGGUGGUGAUGAUGUGUCCUCUUGCAUGUUGUGUUGUCAUGUACAUGUGUUAACAAGGCAGCCACGUGUACAAGGACUAAAUUGAUGGAAAUGGUAAAAAUUGUAGUGUUAACUUUUCAGUGUCAUUUUUUUGUGUUUCCAAUUGCUUUUGUGUUUCUAACUUCUCCAAUGGCCACCAUGUUCUAACAUCUGUAAGUUGUAUUUACAAACUUUCCUAUAGUUGCUCAAUCGAUAAUCAUGACAAUAUCAUAACUUUCCACUUUAGUAGAUCAUGCUCAACCAUAAAAACAAAUAGUGCAGUUUAUCAAGGAAUAGUAGCAACACGAAGGCACGGUAGUCAGUAAAGCAAAAAUCAACUCGCAAAAUAAACCUGCCAUUCAUUCAUUCAUUCAACAUACAACAAACAAAAACAAACAAACAAACAAACAUUUAUUCAUGGUUCCACCACCAAUGCAUAUAAAUUGCACAGACUAGCUAGUUUUACUUGGAGCAACCAGGCCAUGCAACAUCUCUUGGAGAAAGUGUUUUAAGGACUGGAUUUCUCUCAAAGAAAUUCGUUGGUCUCAGCUCAAAUGAAGUGCUCAAUAGUGGCAUUAUUGGGAAAUCUUCUUGUGCUGGAACAUGAUGAAUUCCAACUACAUGCCACAUCACAAUGUCCUUGUUCACAAUGUCUCUAUUCCUGCAAAAAUUCCAAAUUAAUUAGUAUAAUAAUCAACUUACCAAGAUCAAUUAUUAGCAAAUGUACAAAUCAAAUAAAAAAAAUCAUACUUUUUGGUCCAAACAGCUAAUGUGUCUUCUCCACGGCUAUGAUCAACAUAUAGUCCACCAGCCCAUUUUUCAGUUCUAUUAUAAGGUGUGACCCAAACAUUAUAAUUAGUAAAUGCACCACGUAUUUGUGGAUAAUCAUCUUCGGUUAGAAGUGGAUGAGCUGGAAUUGCUGGGAUCAAACGGUAUCCGACGUCGUUUCCAACGAUAGUUUUUUUGUUUGGAUUGACAAUUGCAAGUUCACCUGGGGCAAGCCCUAGAGUAAUUUUUGCAUCUGAUUCAGUCUUAGCAAUUUGAGUCUCAGUGGUCCAAUAACUCUUUCUCUUUGAACUUCCAUCGGUGAUUUUUACGGUUUUUAAACUUGUUUUCUCAAAUGAAUUUUGAACACCGUCGAUAUCAAAAUCAAGAUAGUACAUGUAGAAAUGGUCAUGGUAAAUACCAAUGCUGUUUGCUGAUACCAAUUUGCCAUGUAAAUCUUCUUUAAUCUCAUCCUUGUGCUUGAUAUUUGUUCCCUUGAUUUCCAAUAUACCCGACAGUGCUAUCUGUGUACAUACAUACAUACAUACAUAAAUUUUGAAAAAUCAAUUAGAGUUAUUUCAGGCCAAGGACAUGACAAUUGACAAGUGAAGUGGGACAGUUGUUGUCUUGGCGGUAUAUGCUAAAUAUAGUAAUACACAUGUUUUCUUUUUUCUUUCAGUUUAAAUAAAAAUAGUAAGUAACCUGUAACCCAAAGUGAAGUGGGACUUUUUUUUUACAAUAAACCAAAAGAGACUUUCAAAUCGUUUAAAUAAAUUUGUCAGCUAUCCAGCAAGGAAGUUACACACCUAGGACAAAUUUUAAAUUCAGACUUAACAUUUAAUUUGUCCAAUGCUUAAUUUGUUAAAGUAAGUUUUGACUUUUCAAAGGUUUGUUAUGACUUGUUAGUUGAUUUAAAAACUCAUUUAAUAUUAUUGUGUCUAAGCAAAUAGUAUAUGUUUAAAUCGACUAACAAACAAAUAGACCAAUAAAACAAAUUGGAUUCUCUUUUGUUAUUUAACAAGACAUUUUAGAAAAUUUGAAUAUGUGAUAUCAUAUUUUAAUUUAAAUUUAAAUUUAUGCAAGUCGAAUUAAAUAUCUAGAUCCUUGCCUUAAGAAAAUCCAAAAAUACCAAGAGACAAGAUAUAUAAUUGCACAGUGUUUUAGUGACCCGCUUGGUAAAUUCCCUCGAAGAUUGGAAAUGAAAUGAACGUGUUUAUGAAGAACCAUAUCUUAUCUCUUUUCAAAAAAAGAAAAUCUUAUCUUCCAGUAACACUCUACGAAUUUUUUUAUAUGUAUUAUUUUAUUACAAAAUCUGUUUUGUAAUUAUUAAUAUAGUAAAUACUCCAUAUUACUUACAUUUAAUUGUGAGAUCACUUACACUUACGUAUAAUUAUCUAUAUAAAACAUUUAGUAAACAUGGAGUAACAAAUAAACAAAACUAAAUACUUACAGCAGGCUUGAUAGAACCACUUGCUUUGAACUCCCAAUCUAAAACAUUGUCGUAGUUUCCCACGGUGACUACUGUUCUUACAAUCAAAUUCACUUCGGUUCUAGAUUCUUCGACCUGUCAGUAGAUGUACAAACAAAAAAUCAAUAAAUAAAUAAAAAUAGAAUAAUUAGUUAAAUUAGUUGGUUGCAGGAAAAACUCUUACGAAUUCAUUAGGAAUGCCAGUUUCAGUGUGACGCCACAUGAUAUUACCAUAUUGUUCAAACACACAAAUUGCAUUCUUCAAUAGGCUUGGUGUACCAUCAGCCGAGUGAAUGUAUGUAUCAAUGAACUGAGCAUGUGGUGGACAAUCACGAUUAGGUAUCAAAGACACCGUUGACAGACCAAAUCCAAACUCUCCAGAAUCAAAGAAAGUCUUAAAGUAAAACUCUUCGGUUGGGUCUUGAUAAGGCACAAAUAGCUCGGAAAUGUAGCCUUUGUAGAGUACACGGCGAGACUUAUGUUUCUCUAGAUCGUAAAUAGAUGCAAGUGAUAUCACUAUACCAGCUCGUACAUCAAAUCCUAUAUGAAACUUCCAGUUGGCCCAGCUGAAAAAUCAUACGCAGGUAUUAUUUCUCAAAUAAUUGGACGAAAUACAUACAAAUCGAUAUUUUAAAUGGGCAAGAAUAAAGCUAGUAACUUAUUCCCUAAAAAAAUUCAAGUUAGUAACUUAUUACGCAAAUUGAAUAUUAUUUUUAGAAAAUAUGUAAAUUGAAUCUUCCCUAUCAAUACUCCUUUUAAUCAUUUUAAUAAGAGACAAUAGGUCAACAAAAAUUGAUAUAUAAUUUUGUCUAUAUUUUGAACUAAAUACAUCAAUUUUUGUUGACUCAUUUAUCUCUUAUAAAAAGGACUAGAAGGAGUACUAAAUAAUUAAUGCAUAUAUGUAAACAAAAAAAAAUGUAUAUGCCAUUGGAGAAGUUAUACAAAUCUAUCUGUAUACAUUUUCAAUAAAUCACAUUUAGAUCGUCUGAUAAAAAUCAAUUUCAAGUUUUUUAUUUUAUUUAGAGAUAGAAAAACUGGAUCUCAAUUAAAAGAUUAGAUGGUCCACAUCCACAUAUGUCACAAAAUCCAAAUCCAGUUAAUACCCAUCCGUGUACUAUUUAGUAGAUUUACCAAUUAAGAAUAAGGAAACCAUUGUAAUAUAAAUAAAGGAAACAGACACCCAAAAAAGGAAAGUAAAGGAUCAAGAACAUUAUUACCUAACACUGUGACCAUUGAUCUGAAAGCCAGGACCUUGAGGUUGAUAACUAGCAAGACUAUGCUGUUUUGGUCCAAAUGGUGGACUUUGUUUUGAAACCCUGUAAUCAGUAUUCUCAGCAGUAGGCACUGCUUCAACAUCUCUAUCAUGGUACUCAACAAUUUUCAUUAGACUAAGAUCAGCCACCAUGGUGAUUCCAGUAAUAGGCCUAACAUAUAUAUUAACAGUACUUUCUUUCAUAAAACAGUCAACUCUCACAGUCCUUCUAUUCUCUUUUUCUCCAAACCAUCCCAUAGUGAAACUAGAACAAACCACCUCAGAGAGAUUCAAACCUCUCUUUUGCACUGAGGCAAUAAAAGGAGGAUAUUUCUUUGGAAGUUCUAUUGCAAUGGCUUGUUCAUCAACGGUUAGUGUAGGGAAACCAUUCCCUUUGUAAACAUUGUCAUAGACAAUUCUCUUCAACCUUAAAUCUAUUAGUAUCUCAUGGUUUUGGCCAUUGAUGAUAGCAAUGAUAAAGGCUUUACGAGGGAUAGUUAUAACACUUGGUUUCAAAGUUUCCCAUUUGAGAAUAGCAUCUUUUUCAGGGUCAUCAAGACCAAUAUAGUGGAAAGAUACUGUGUUCUUUGAGGUGGGAUAUUUGUUAUGGACUAGGGUUUGGACAGUCAGAAACUCUUCUUUGGUUAAAGGAUCAAGUGGAUGUUGAAAAUGCAAUGGUGUAACAGAGAACACUGAUUGGAAUGAGAGGAGUGUGAGUGCAGAGAAAAGAACAAGUUUCAUGGUGGUGGAAAAAGCCAUGGUGAGCUAUAACAAGCUUCACUAUGUCUUGGUGUUUGUUGUGUGAAAUGUAAGCUCCUCAGGGUGAUCUUAUAUAGCAGUGAAUGCACACACGUUAAUAGGUUAUCAAUCAAUUUCUCUAUAUAAAAUGAAAAUCAUUAUUUCCGCAUAUCAAUAAUUAUAUUUUUCUUUAUUCACGAAUGAUACGAUAAUAAUAUAUGAAAAUGUUAAAGAAUCUCUCUUAGAUCCUCUUUAAAAAUUAGGUCUUGCUAACUUGUAUCAUAACAUUAAAAGUUUAACUUUGGAAAUUGUGCAUUCAUAACAUUAAAAGUUUAAAAACUUAUCUUUUCAAUGCAUUAUUUAUUGUUUAAUUCUAUUUUAAGAUCCUUAUGUUGUGUCCUAAGGGCACAAGUUAGCAUUUCCCUUAAAAAAAUUAAACAAUAAAUUUUUAUGUAUUUAAUGCAUUGAAAAUUAUAGUAUUUAACUUUUUUAAAAAUAAUUUUUUGAUAUAAAAUAUUUAAAGAAUGCAUCGGAGGCACUAGUUAGUAAGAUCUUUUCAAAUAUCUUAAGAGAAAGGCACAUGGUUUCUUUUUCAUUAUUUUCUUUUUUUUUUGUGAACUGUUUCUUUAACAAGAAAUUGGUGUCGGCGUGUUCUUGUUGACAAAGGUGAGUUAUGGUAUAAAGUUUUGACAAAUAUGAGGUAGAAAGUGGGUGCAUUAGGGAGCGGUUCAAAGGGGGUGUUGGGGAGUUUGAAGGUGACUGGUUCCAGAUGGUAUAGGACAUCGAGUUGGUAAUGGUGAAAGUUUUUCCUUUUGGAACGAUCCUUGGUUAGAGAGAGAUCUUUUAUGAUUCUGGUUCAAUUGGCUAUUUGAUAUUCAUGCAGACAACAAUAUUUCAGUUGUGGAUUUGAGUUGAUUGGGUUGGGGGGUUGAGGGCGAUGGACGGAGAUGGAGGAGGAUACUUUUUGUAUAGAAGGAGGAUCUUUUAAUGGAGUUUUGUUCUUUAAUUUGUGUGAUAACUUUGUUUUCCAGAACUCGGUUGCGGACACUUGGUUUUGAAAAAUUGACCCAAAACAUGGUUAUACCGUCA